rfam:Echinostoma caproni strain Egypt genome assembly, scaffold: ECPE_scaffold0004118
UCCAAGGCCUUUUUAAAGGCCACUUAUGACUAUCUCCGGUAGUCUG